UACGUAGGUGGCAAGCGUUGUCCGGAUUUACUGGGCGUAAAGAGCGCGCAGGCGGUCGAUCAAGUCGCGUGUGAAAGCCCCCGGCUCAACUGGGGAGGGUCACGCGAUACUGAUCGACUCGAAGGCAGGAGAGGGUAGUGGAAUUCCCGGUGUAGUGGUGAAAUGCGUAGAUAAUCGGGAGGAACACCAGUGGCGAAGGCGACUACCUGGCCUGUUCUUGACGCUGAGGCGCGAAGCUAGGGAGCAAC
rnacentral:rRNA from 1 species